AUACUUCAAUAAAAAAAUAAAUAAAAACUGUUGAUUUUUUUCUAUUAUUCUUUGAUACCCUGUGGAACAGGAUGCUGAAUGGGAUUCUUCCAGGAGUCUCGGAAUUACUAUUAAAAUUCCAGGAAUGAAAGUAAUUAGUGUUAAGUACCAGCCCCAUUCUGAAACAGUGUUCCAUAGCAAAGGCUGCUCAUUAGAAUCACCUGUGGAGUUUUUAAACUAGCCUGCUUCCCCAGACCAAUUAAAUCAAAAUCUCUAAGAGUAGAAUCCACUCUUUUUCUUUUUUGUUUUUUAGGCUUCCAGAUGAUUUCUCUGACUGACCAUCCAAGUUUGAGAAAUAUUGUUCAAAAAAGGGCCAGCAAGGAAACCAGACAUCCUUCCAUUAAGACUUCUUAAAUGCUUGGCUAGCCCUCUUACAUUACACCAUAGCCUCUUCCGUUCCUUAUUAAGAGGUUAUUGUGAGAUAAAAGAAAAUUCAUGGAGCAUUGUUAAGUCAUUAACUUCGGACAGAAUUCUAAGUCUUUUGUUUCCCUUCCAUUAACUAAGUAAGGAGAGUUCCAAUAGAAUCAAUUGUAGCCAUUGGGAGUGCCUGCAAAGGGAGACUAGAAUCUCUUUCCUGGUUACACAGGCAACAGACUUGGUGAUCUGCCUGCCCUCGGUGACUAUCUGAUCAGAGGGAGAGAAGUGGAAAGAAGUGCCCAGUAGAACCUGAACCAUCUUGCUGGUACCCAACCAAGGGGAUCUAGCAGUAUGCCGUCAUGGGGUAUACAGCAGUUGGUAAAAGCCCAAAGGAGUCCAAAAACCAAAAGAGGAGGAAAUCAGGUCCCUCCAGUCCAGGCCUGGCUGGUGCUCCAAACAAAAACAUGAUGCAGCUGGAUGAAAGAACAGAGCACCUUUCAAGAGCUUGAAGUUCAACAUUAAACUGAAGUGUCUUAAAAGUGACUCAAGCCAGUCUCCUGAAAAGUGGAAAAAGAAAUCCUUUCUGUUUUGUUUCUGGUGGUGACGCUUUUUCAGCCUUUGAGUCAUUAUAUAAGCUCCUACAUUUUCCAUGAUACGCCUGCAGUGCUGACAAGCACAGUUUUAAGAAAUAAGUGCUUCUUUGAGAAUGAUGGUUCACAAGCAGGCCCAGAAGGUAGACCUCUGAGAAUGUCAAGGAGAGGAGAUGCGAACCUAGGAUUGUAAUCCUGAUGUAGACACAACGGAUCAUCAUGAGGCGACACGCUCCCCUGGUGUGCCUCCUACCUGCCUCCCUGUUCUCUGAAGCCUUUGCCAGCACCUCUGCGUCUGCUGUCCAGUACAAGUUCAAGUUCCUCAAGGCUCGUUACAGACUGAUGCACUUGCUCUCCACAGUGUAGCCGGUGAUUAAGCCCAAUGCCUCAAGAAUCAACCAGCCUGAGCUCCAAUCGCUUUAUUUAGCCUCUUUAUGCCUCAACUCCCACAUCUCCAAAAUACUAAUAGCAUCUGCCUCAAAGGUUUGUUGUGAGAACUAAUUGAAAUGAAACAUGAAAAGUGCUAAGUCCAAUGCCUUGCAUGUAGAAAAUAAAUACUCAAUAUGUGUGAGUUGUUGUUAAAAUACUAACUAUGUGAUCACAAAUUAUCUACCUAACAUCUAUCCUCCCUAGACUGCAAGCUCUACCCCUAGCCCUUGACUUGGUACCUGGCUCGCGGUAGACUCUCAUUCACCUUUCCUUGAAUGGCCAAGUGAAGGAGGAGUCAAAGGGACGUAUCACCAUGUGAAGUGGGUGUCCUUAUUCCUGUACUAAGAAUGAAAGAAAUAAAAUGUGGAGAGAGUAAGCAAUAUUCGAAGCCUCCACAGAUAGUAAGCGGCAGAAUUGUAAUUCAAGUCCGUAUCUGUCUAAAUCUGAAGCCUGUGCGCUUUUCAUUUCUUGCACUGGGAAAAACGCACGUCCCAGGGAGAAGAGGUAGGAAAUAAUCGAUGGGUAUUGAGCACGACUGUGAACCUGGCAGUGUUCUAAGCACUUGCUUGGGUUUUCUCAGUUAAUUUUUACAGCACCCUUAAGAGGUAAAGACUAGUAUUAUUUUAACUUUACAGAUGAAGGCUAAAGUGCAGAGAAGAUAGUAACAGGCCAAGCUUCCACAGCUGGGAAGAAACAGGAAUAGGUAGGAUUUGAACCCAGUCGUCUGGAUCCAGAGCUCACACCCCUGACUGGCACAUGUAUGCCUGUCUCAGCAUCAUGUGAUGCUUCACAACUAAACAGCACUAAAAGACAGUCAAAAAGUCAUUCUUGGUUAUAUUUUCCCCAGUCAACUAUGUAGUACCCUUUUGAGUCUUCAUAUAAACAGAAUAAAAUAAAAACACUGAACAUCUACAUAAACUCCAAUCCUUGUCCUAAACAAUUACUGAAUCUUAAAGACCAUCUUUAACAACUUUUCCAAUUUAUCAUUCAACUUUUGUCUACAUUUCCAGUAAUCCAGUAAUAUGAUGGUCCCUAAUCCUAGAAUUCCAUUCCGAUUUUGAACUGGAUAAAUGUAGGGAAUUUUUUCUUGAACAAAAAUCUGUCGUCUGUGUCCUCUGCUAACUUACCUAGUUUAACUCCCUGAAACUAUGUGAUAUUUGAAGACAAACCAUGAAUCUAUUCAGCAUACACUGGAGCACUUGUCUUUCAGGCACUGCGACAGGCAACGGGUACACAAAAGUGAACGCAAAUAACUCAUGUUGUUGGGGUGGCAGCAGUGUAAAUGAAUAACUUCAACCUUGAGUGGUAAGUGUUCUGCUAGAAUUAUAAAAAAAGGGUUAUUGAAGCAUCAAGAAAAGUGAUUUGAGGAAAGAGUGAGUUGCAAAUUAGGUGUGUAUACAGGAAACUAUUCUUUUGACCUCCAGGAAUCUCCAAAUGCUUCCUGCUUCUAGAUAAUACUGAAAUAAACAGGGUCCCUGCUUCUUAGUAUAGUCCGAAGGCAACAAACAUGGUCUCUCCCUGCCCUCUGGCAGUAGGGCAGGAGUAUAUGACUUCUAGGAUCAGGGAAGAAAUAAUUUUCAUUGUUGAGUGGUUACUAUCUAUCAGGACUGUUCUAAGUACUUUACAUAUAAUAACUCAUUUAAAGCCAACAUUCUAUGAGGUCAGUGCUAUUUUUAUCACUUGCCAUUUCACAGAUAAGACUGAGAUUCAAAACAGUCUAGAAACACUAGAAGUUGCAGACCUAGUAAGCGGAAAAGCAGGGAUUCAAACCAGAGUCGGCUGGCCUUGGAGGGCAUGUUUUAAGUGCCAUGCUAAACUGCCCUGGCCCCAGCCCACAACUGAAUCACAAUGGCUUGAUCAAGGUACAGGGCCUGCCUGAGAGAUUCAAGAUGGUGGGGUGGAGUCCAGUGGAGCGAGUUCACUGGACAGUACAACCAAGGGCAGUGAAUGACCAGGGCUGGCUCCCUGUUCCUGGUGGAUGAAUGAAUGAAGACUAUAUUUAUUUCCAUUAAAUUUGAUCUCUUUUACUGCAACUUGCCAUUCAAGCUAGGCAUAAUUUUAGAAUAUUGAUAUGCCUGGCCAAAACAUUUGCUAUUCCUCCCAGUUCUAUGUGACCUGUAAAAACUUUCUAUGACCCUCAUCCAAAAUACUAGUAACAAAGUUGAAUAGGACAGAGAACCAAACUGCCCCGGAGCAGUGUUUCAACACCAGAAAUCCUGGAGCGCCAUCGUCUGCUUCCCACACCUCCACAUUUCCCAUAAGGCUUCCAUGAGCGCUGUGACAUCCUGAGCACAGAGCGGCUAUGGCACCCACCUGAAACUUGACAAGAUCUACUUUUAGUGACCCCAUGUAGGCAAUGUGGGAUCACCACUUCCUUCUCUAAGUGCACAUAUCUCAUUCUUCUUUUAAUAUGCCUUAGAUUUUUCCGCUGGGAGGCAAGAACAAGUAGAUUGAACUAUAGUUUUCUAAAAGACCUCGCUCACCUUUUUGGAAGCCAGGCUAUUUGUCCAUCAGCAAUUACUACUCUUCUCCAAUUUUCCUCAAAAGUCACCUUCAGCAGUCUCUAAGCUAUUUUCCCCAAUUAUCUCGUUACUGUUAAAUAGACUCAGCUGGGACUUGAUGUUUUGGGCUCCCCCCACAACCCCACAUUUAACUUGGGGUUUAAAUCUUAUUGCCUUCUUUGAUUCUCAUUAUUCUAUCCAUUUUUUGGUUACAGAUAAUAUUUUGAUAUUAAAAAAACAGAUUUCGUACUGAAAUAUCAUAACUAACACCACACUGGACAGGUAAACAAAAGCGGCAGAACCAAUUGGACUUGAAAUAGCUACAGUAUUUCUAGGGGAAAUUACCACCAGUUUAAAUUAGAAACCCUAGUUUUCUGUCCAAGACAGAUAACUACCUGAGUAUAACUUCAGUGUAAGUUUCAAUUCAACAAAAUCUUCUUCAAGUAGUCUUUGGGCAUAUUUACUUUUAUUAGGUAAGUUUUCCAAUUCAGCCAGCACGUUAAUUAGUAAAACUCAAUCAUAAAAAUCUUCUCUAUCUCCUAGACUGGAAGUAAAGCACUGAUGUAAUCAACAUGACUUUUUAAGGUUAUGUUCACAUUUGCCAACACAGAGUGAUUUCAACUUAAAUCCAUUUUAACUUGCUUAUCAGGACAUAGCUCUACCAUUCAUCAGUUUGUGGUUAAAAAAAAAAAGAUGAGGCAAUGUGGCUUAUGUGUGGGGGUGUGUGUGUGUGUGUGUGUGUGUAUGUGUGUGUGUAUGCAGGAAAUUCUGCUAGGGCCUCUUCUCCCUACUGUUUUUUCACCUUUUCAGUUGUAUUCUGGCAUUAUAUUGCCUGGUUCAGUUAACAAGUGAGGAGAACAGGUGGAUGCCAGCCAUGGCAGCAGCGCUGUGAAUAUCAGCACCAGCACCUCACAUCCUUUCUUGGCCCUGGAGAGUGUUCCACUUUUAGGAGUCUGCUACAUAGACACACAGAAGCAAAGUGAUAAAGUAAGGUAGCCACCACUUUUACAUGAGUAUGGGUUGGAAGGCUUUUUUAUUUUAUUUUUUUAGCAUUAAGAAUGACUCCAAGAUAGCUAGUCCAGCUAAGUCAAUUUCAUUCAUUCACUCAUUCGUUUAUUCAUUCCACUGAUCAAUCAACAAAUAUUGAGUGUACCAUGUGUCAUAAAAUCUGUUGGGCUCUGCAUAAACAUUAACAGUCUCUGACCUGAUGAAGACUAUAUCCUAAUAGACAGAUGUCAAGACUAAGAAAAGUACUCUCUCCGGGAGGUAUUGGCUUUGUGCCUAUAAUAGCAUCCCUAAUACCCAGGAUUCACCUUUCAAUUUGCUACUACUCUCUAAAUGUUUCCUUUUCCCCACUAAACAGCUAAGCCCUAAUUGUGAUUCCUGAAAAAGCACUCCGAAAGCAAAGGCACUCAUUUCAUAAACGACCAGGGUACACCAAACACACCUCAGGGCUUGCACAGCUGACACACCAAACUAGAAGACGUUCACCAAAUACAUUUUGCUUUUUCUGGAAGCUCUAUCAUUAAUUUCUCAAUUCCUUUUCAAUUUCAAAACUGUGUUUAAGAUUCUUAUUAAAUGCAAAAUAUCAUUUUUUUAAUCAAAACUCUUCAGAAAUUUGAGUCCUUCUCUUUGUAACAUUUUAUUAUCAAAGGAAAAAAAGGUGGAUGUGGCACAGUUCUGACUCCCAGAAAAUGUUGUCUAACUAUAUAGUGCAAAAAGAAACACUCAAAUACUGAUUCACAAAAAAAAUUCCAUAAAAUUUUCUUUUGAUGUUUAGUGAAGCCUACAGAAAAUAGGAGACAGCAAGCCAGCACUUAAUGUUUAUAGACUAAAACUUAUCUGGCUGCUUUAGGACAAGAGACUAAGAUAUAGCCAGCCCCUCUCUCUUUCCUGCCCCAUCACAACCACCAGGGCAUACAUCUUUGAAACAAUAUAAGAACUAGAUUAAUUUUUAUUUUCCUUCUUCCUUAAUCUCUCCUCAUGUUAAAAAUAAAUAAUAAGGAGAGAGAUAAGGCGCAAGCCCUUUGGUCUGUGAGCAAAAGCAAUUCUCAGGAAAAUACAGAUUUUAUACAAACUGGUGAAUACAGCUGAUUAGAAAAGCUAUAGGAUGCCCAAGGCUUGAAUUGUGAGAUGAGCUCUUCAUGCCUUGAAAAGUGAAAAGAGAAGAGAGAAAAUGUUAAUGUAUCAUAAAUUCUAUGAAAAGUGUGGUACCCGUGGGAUUUUCAUUUGCAUUCAGUUUUUGCUCUCGUGGUUUUUUUCCCCACAAGGUUGAAAUCCGCAAAAAUAAAGGCUCUUGGUUUUAUAUUCGAAUUUUUUUUUAAAGAUUUUAUUUUUUUCCUUUUUCUCCCCAAAGCCCCCCAGUACAUAGUUGUAUAUU